ensembl:lncRNA
CCAUGUCCCCAGGGCCAGGCACUUUGCCUUGCACAGAGUAGGGACUGCAUAAAGAGAUGUUGAAUGAAUGAAUCAUGGUAGCCAAGAAGAUGCAUUUUGGCACUGACUCGGAACUGGCAGGACCUCAGAUGCCACCCAGAAAGGGCCUCCACUGAAGCCUGGCAUCCCUCUGCAGCGUUCCUGACACAGACACAGCUGGCUCCUGCAAGACCGGAAGCAGGUAUCCAGACGCCGCUUCUUCACAAGCUCACUGAUGCUCCACCUUGGCAGUUCUGCUGGUACCGCCUUUCACACCUCCAUUGACUCCAUCCUCCCCAUUCCAUACCCAGAUUCAAGUCCUUAAAGUUUUGGUAGAGCACUCUGGAUGCUCGAUUCUCUGAAAGAAGGAAGCUCUUGUCAUCUAAG